rnacentral:rRNA from 1 species
UACGUAGGGGGCAAGCGUUGUCCGGAUUUAUUGGGCGUAAAGAGCGUGUAGGCGGCCUGAAAGGUCAGCUGUGAAAACUCGAGGCUCAACCUCGAGACGUCGGUUGAAACCAUCUGGCUAGAGUCCGGAAGAGGAGUGUGGAAUUCCCGGUGUAGCGGUGAAAUGCGCAGAUAUCGGGAAGAACACCCGUGGCGAAGGCGGCUACCUGGACCGGUUCUGACGCUGAUGCGCGAAAGCGUGGGUAGCAAACAGG